AUUGAACGCUGGCGGCAGGCCUAACACAUGCAAGUCGAGCGGAUGAAGGGAGCUUGCUCCUGGAUUCAGCGGCGGACGGGUGAGUAAUGCCUAGGAAUCUGCCUGGUAGUGGGGGAUAACGUCCGGAAACGGGCGCUAAUACCGCAUACGUCCUGAGGGAGAAAGUGGGGGAUCUUCGGACCUCACGCUAUCAGAUGAGCCUAGGUCGGAUUAGCUAGUUGGUGGGGUAAAGGCCUACCAAGGCGACGAUCCGUAACUGGUCUGAGAGGAUGAUCAGUCACACUGGAACUGAGACACGGUCCAGACUCCUACGGGAGGCAGCAGUGGGGAAUAUUGGACAAUGGGCGAAAGCAUGAUCCAGCCAUGCCGCGUGUGUGAAGAAGGUCUUCGGAUUGUAAAGCACUUUAAGUUGGGAGGAAGGGAAGUAAGUUAAUACCUUGCUGUUUUGACGUUACCAACAGAAUAAGCACCGGCUAACUUCGUG
rnacentral:rRNA from 1 species